GGUGUCUUCCUAUGUUGCCCAGGCUGGCCUCGAACUCCUGGGCCCAAGCGAUCCUUCCUCCUCGGCCCCCCAAAAUGCUGAAAUUACGGGUGUCAGCCACCACGCCUGGCCUACGUGAGUCAUCUUAACAGCUAAAUAAGCCUCUUGCCAGUUUUACAACCUAGGAAGGUUUUCCCUUGAGGGCCUUGAAGCCACCGACUCAAAAGUUCCCAUACAGAUAGGCCCUCUGACUGAGGAAAAUGUGUUCUUUCAUUCUCUUGAUUCUCCUGUAAACCUACUGGGAAGACACCUGUGUAAAUUAAAGACUACCUACCAUCA